rnacentral:lncRNA from 12 species
CUGAUGUGUGGGAACUGAGAAGCUUCAGAAUAACACAGAAUCAGAAUGGAGAUCCUAAAGGCUCCCUGAAGUGCUGUUCCCCACAUCUGCUGCUCUGCUGGCCAUGGGGAAGUUGGAUUCCAUUGUGCCCUGUGUGGUGGGGGUUUGCAGUGAGUUACAGGCCCUGCUCCCAGUGUAGCUCAUCUCUUAAACCACCCACUGCUUAAUUCAAUUAAUCCAAGAAAGCUCAGUAACGAGGUGGAUUUGGGAAGCAGCUUUGUGUGUUGCUAAGGCUCAAAUCCAGUUCACCCACAGGGGAAGAGAAUUGCAGAACUGGGGCCCUCUGCCUCAGCAAGCAGGAGAUUCCAUCUCCCCCACCUACUCUACCUGGAGGUGUUACAAGGGAGAAUUGGGUAACAGCCUCCAUCAGACAAACCAUGCAGUGACAUCAUCUUUGGAGGAAUGCAACAAGAAUGUUUCAGAUGAUAGGAGUAAACAUGUCACCAGGAAAAAAAAAAAAAAAAAGUGUGUUUUAAAUUCCAGGUGAAGCCCUGGGAAGCAGAAGUCACACACAUCUUUAAGGAGGGACUCAGUGGUGCAGGGCAGCGAGCCUUGACUUCAUUCCAAAGGCAGGUAACAGCCUUGUCCUGCUCACAAAAGAGAAGAGAACUGUUUUUGGAGACAUUUGGAAGGAGGAUACCCAAGAAGAUGGAGCAGUCCUUGUGCAAGCAGUGGACCAGGCAGCUGAAGAGUUGCCGUAGGCUUUCAGGGAAUCACCAAAUCUGUGCAAGUCCUUCAGAUGAGCAAACCCACCCUCUGAACUGUUUAAUCCAAGUAGGAUUGCUGAAAGUGUAAUUCAAGGCCUUCCUCCAGGCUUGAUACAUCAAGAAAACUUCAGAGGAGUUGUUAUUGCCUCACACCAAUGGUAAGGGGAAAGAGAAGCAAAUUAUUCAUGUUUAAUGUUGUUUUGUGCCAGAUGUUUUGCUGGUAG